CCUACGGGAGGCAGCAGUGAGGAAUAUUGGUCAAUGGGCGCGAGCCUGAACCAGCCAAGUAGCGUGAAGGAUGACUGCCCUACGGGUUGUAAACUUCUUUUAUAAAGGAAUAAAGUGAGGCACGUGUGCCUUUUUGUACGUACUUUAUGAUUAAGGAUCGGCUAACUCCGUGCCAGCAGCCGCGGUAAUACGGAGGGGCCGGGCGUUAUCCGGAUUGAUUGGGUUUAAAGGGAGCGUAGAUGGGUUUUUAAGUCAGUUGUGAAAGUUUGCGGUGCAACCGUAAAAUUGCAAUUGGUACUGGCAGUCUUGAGUACAGUUGAGGUAGGCGGAAUUCGUGGUGUAGCGGUGAAAUGCUUAGAUAUCACGAAGAACUCCGAUUGCGAAGGCAGCUUACUAAACUGCCACUGACAUUGAUGCUCGAAAGUGUGGGUAUCAAACAGGAUUAGAUACCCCAGUAGUC
rnacentral:rRNA from 1 species